rnacentral:rRNA from 1 species
UACAGGGGGGGCAAGCGUUGUUCGGAAUUACUGGGCGUAAAGCGCACGUAGGCGGCUUUGUAAGUUAGAGGUGAAAGCCCGGGGCUCAACUCCGGAAUUGCCUUUAAGACUGCAUCGCUAGAAUUGUGGAGAGGUAAGUGGAAUUCCGAGUGUAGAGGUGAAAUUCGUAGAUAUUCGGAAGAACACCAGUGGCGAAGGCGACUUCCUGGCCUGUUCUUGACGCUGAGGCGCGAAAGCUAGGGUAGCAAACGGG